rnacentral:sRNA from 1 species
CCCCUUAUGUCUUGGGCUACACACGUGCUACAAUGGUCGGUACAAACAGUUGCGAUCUCGUAAGAGGGAGCUAAUCUGAAAAAGCCGAUCUCAGUUCGGAUUGAGGGCUGCAACUCGCCCUCAUGAAGCCGGAAUCGCUAGUAAUCGCGAAUCAGCAAUGUCGCGGUGAAUACGUUCUCGGGUCUUGUACACACCGCCCGUCACACCAUGAGAGUUGAUAAUACCAGAAGUCGGUAUUCUAACCGCAAGGAGGAAGCCGCCCAAGGUAGGAUUGAUGAUUAGGGUGAAGUCGUAACAAGGUAUCCGUACGAGAACGUGCGGAUGGAUCACCUCCUUUCUAUGGAGUUAAUACUUUAUAGUAAUUAACUAGUUUUAAUGACCGUUAUGUUUAGUUUUCAGAGAUUAGUUUCUCUGACAAUAACAAGUAAAUGUUAUUGGAAUUGUUCUUUGAAAACUGGAUAAUAGACAUCUAGUUAUUUUAAUCACAUGAUUAAAAUAACAAUAAUUCAAAAUUUCUGUUAUUUUUAAAAAAUAACUAAAAUUUCACAGUUAUAUUUGUAAAUGAUUCUCAAAAAACUGAUUUAAAAUCAGGUCAAAUAAUUUAUAAAACUUUGAAGUUACAAAGGGCGUAUGGUGAAUGCCUUGGGAAUAGGAGACGAUGAAGGACGUGACUACCUGCGAUAAGGUUCGGGGAGCUGGAAGUAAGCUUUGAUCCGGACAUGUCCGAAUGGGGAAACCCGGUGAGAUUAAUCUCUCAUCAUCCUAUAAUGAAUAAAUAGUUAUAGUGAAGGUAUACCUAGGGAAUUGAAACAUCUUAGUACCUAGAGGAAAAGAAAGCGAAUGCGAUUCUCUUAGUAGCGGCGAGCGAACGGGGAACAGCCCAAACCAGAUUUAUCUGGGGUUGUAGGACCAUAAUAGUAGAGUUACAAAACUUGUUUAUAGUAGAAAUGGUUGGGAAACCAUGCCGUAGAGGGUGAUAGCCCCGUAUACGAAAUAGACAAGACUCGAAAUGGAAUCCUGAGUACGGCGAGACACGUGAAAUCUUGUCGGAAUCAACGCGGACCACCGCGUAAGGCUAAAUACUACCUAUUCACCGAUAGUGAACCAGUACCGUGAGGGAAAGGUGGAAAGCACCCCGGGAGGGGAGUGAAAUAGUACCUGAAACCAUAUGCCUACAAGAAGUCGGAGCCCGUUAAUGGGUGACGGCGUGCCUUUUGUAGAAUGAGCCGGCGAGUUAUGAUAGCAUGCAAGGUUAAGUAGAAAAUACGGAGCCGUAGUGAAAGCGAGCCUUAAUAGGGCGUUUAGUAUGUUGUCAUAGACCCGAAACCAGGUGAUCUAGCCAUGAGCAGGUUGAAGUUGAGGUAAAACUUAAUGGAGGACCGAACCGACGUUCGUUGAAAAGACCGCGGAUGACUUGUGGCUAGGGGUGAAAUUCCAAUCGAACCUGGAGAUAG